AUACCUUUCUCGGCCUUUUGGCUAAGAUCAAGUGUAGUAUCUGUUCUUAUCAGUUUAAUAUCUGAUAUGUGAGUCAUUGACUCACUUGAUAUUAAAUUUAUUUUUUAGGGAGAGGGCCCUUCGAGGUAGCUUGCUACUGGGGUUCUCAUGUGUCGCCCAUGCCUUACACUACAGCAGGGGCUUGGCGCAUCCCAC
rfam:Cajanus cajan CcLG03_866, whole genome shotgun sequence.